rnacentral:lncRNA from 7 species
UCUGCAGGGCUGCUCUCAAGGGCGUCUCUCAGUCUGUACACAUAUCUGGGACUGCCCUGUUCCAAGUGCAAAUUAAUCCAUUGGGGGCCAGAGGCUGUAGAAUCUUCUGGGACAGAGCAGUUUCCUGUUACUCAGUUAAUUCUACACACUGACCGAGAGCUGGUUGCUGAGAUACAAAAUUCUGUCUCCUGGGAAGGUCUAAGUGUUCUGGUCAAUGCAUCUUUGUUACCAUCAACUGAUCAGAAUGACCACCGAUCUUCAUUUCACUCUUAUGACGGACGUAGGCUAAAAACACAUUUCAUGAUGAAAAGAAGCACAGUGCUCUAUCUGAUCUUUUUCCUUGACCUCAGUAAAGCUGAUAUGAAAUCAUUUCCUUACAUAAACAGAGAUCUAAAGCUGUAUUUAAGGGUCUACAUCCACCGAUUUAGAAUAGAAAUUUGUUGACUUUUUAAAAAAAUUUUCCUUAGGAAAAUGGGUAUGAGAUUCAUGAGAUUCUGUGCAUGCAUCAUCUUUCAAAAUGGAGGUAUUCUUGUCCCUAAGUUGUACUAUAUGAUCUUUUUCAGCACAGUUAUAUCUAUAAAAAAGAUUGGAUAAGCAGCUGUACAGAGCAGCUCACUAAGCAGUCUUCUUUAAGUUCACUCAGCAAAACUGAAAAGAGUGAAGCAGCACCUGUCUCAAAUAACAUCAGUAAACAUGGGAUCUUCUUUUAAGGAUAAAUAAGGGUAUAUUAUUUUUAUUUACUAUUAUUCUUAUUGGUGCUUAUAAUUAUCAUAAUUAUCAUUAAUACUUGUUCAGAAAAUGAGCAGUAAAUUUAGUAGCAGGCAGGAAUUUAGAUUUGUCACCUCAAAUACUGUACUAGAUUGUAGCAUAUUGAUAACAUUCAUAGUCAGAGUAUUCAUAGAACCAUGGAGUCAUGGAAUCAUUAAGGUUGAGGCUAAGACUAUUUGGUCCAACCAUAGCAUUCAUGGCUGUUCUGUUGUUCAAACACUACGCAAAACUGAAUCGUAGACUGUUCUGUCUGUAAUUCUUCCAUGGCAUUCCUCAAAUUGAACAUAUAUACACACAUGAUAAUCUUCUAAUUUCCAGCAUGUCAGAAAUAGUUGUCUAGAGAUUCUUUUCUCCAUUGUGAAGAAAAUGCAACUACUGUAACAUAUACUCUUGCAUGGCACAGUGCUCUUUAGCAUGACUUACUAUGCUACUGUCUCCAAUAAUACCACUGUAGCUCAUACAUUUACCAGAUACGUAGCACUGCCUAGAGCAUGUUGGUCUUGGUCAGGCAAUAUUCAACUGCAUCUCAACAUUACAGAUUCAUACCCCGAUCAUUACUUUCUUGACUGAAGUCACACCAGUUUAAAGACAUAUAAAUGCACACAUGCACACACACAUAUCCAAACACACUGCAAUCCAUUUCUAGUAAUUCAUAAUCCAUGAUUCUGUGUGUCAUUUUGAAGUGCAGUCAUCCGAAGAACCCUACUAAAUGAACAGACAAGCUGGGAUACUUAAAAGAAUCAAACCCCACACCUAUUCCGUUUUGUCAAGCUACAGCUGCUGUCUUUGCUUAAUCCUAUUCCCUUUGAACUCGUCAGUUCAACUGCCAGUCAUGUUAAGAGCAUCAGCACUGAAUCCUUGCAACAGAUGUCCAGUGUCUAAACCCUAUGCACUGAAGUCAGGAGACAUAAACCGUGGCCAAUAGACCUGCCAGGAUGCAGAGUGGGAUCUCAGUGAGGAGACCAGUAUCCUCUUCAGGAUGAUUUUUUUAACAUUUUCUCAAUAAGUUCCAUGGCUGAGUCUUAGAGUUUACCAGAUAUUCAGCUCAAUGCUGCCAGAUGUGGAAUACUCCUAAGAAAAGCCAGUGUUCUUCACUCCCUCUUUCUCUCACUCAAGUGGGAGCUGAGGAUACUCUGCUCCUGCGGUAUCUGACCAAUUUUGUGAACUACUGUUUUCCUGGAUUUACUGAAUCUGAAAUAUGUGACAUUGUGAAUGACAAGUUCUCUCCUCUACGUCUUGUAUUGAGGCUGUGGAUUGUAUUCAUGAAACUCUACUAUUGAAAUAGAUGUCCUGAUGAAAAAAAAAGCCUUGAACUCAUCACUUGUUUUACAACACAGUGAAGAGCAGCAACUAAAGAAGUUAACAUUAAAAAGUCUCAUUCAUCCAAACACUCAACAUUGCUGGAGUUCCAUUGCUUGAUGUUUGCCCACAGAAGUUGGAUAUUGCACACACCAGUCUUGCCUAUUUGGUACUCACCCGGGAGUUAGCAGUCAUUUUUUUUACACUUUUUAGUCACUUUUUUUUUUACACUCAGGAGUUACUUUUUGAAAACAGACUUCAUUUGGUGUCAACUCAGAAUAAAAUCUGUU